rnacentral:rRNA from 1 species
CAGCCGCCGCGGUAAUACGAAGGGGGCUAGCGUUGCUCGGAAUGACUGGGCGUAAAGGGCGCGUAGGCGGCUCAUACAGUCAGGCGUGAAAGUCCUGGGCUCAACCUGGGGUGGUCGCUUGAGACGUGUGGGCUAGAGUGGGGAAGAGGGUCGUGGAAUUCCCAGUGUAGAUGUGAAAUUCGUAGAUAUUGGGAAGAACACCGGUGGCGAAGGCGGCGACCUGGUCCUUUUACUGACGCUGAGGCGCGAAAGCGUGGGGAGCAAACAGGAUUAGAUACCCCGGUAGUCCCUGUCUCUUAUA